GAUGAACGCUGGCGGCGUGCUUAACACAUGCAAGUCGAACGAUGAAGCUCAGCUUGCUGGGUGGAUUAGUGGCGAACGGGUGAGUAACACGUGAGUAACCUGCCCUUAACUCUGGGAUAAGCCUGGGAAACUAGGUCUAAUACCGGAUAGGAGCGCCUACCGCAUGGUGGGUGUUGGAAAGAUUUAUCGGUUUUGGAUGGACUCGCGGCCUAUCAGCUUGUUGGUGAGGUAAUGGCUCACCAAGGCGACGACGGGUAGCCGGCCUGAGAGGGUGACCGGCCACACUGGGACUGAGACACGGCCCAGACUCCUACGGGAGGCAGAAGUGGGGAAUAUUGCACAAUGGGCGAAAGCCUGAUGCAGCGACGCCGCGUGAGGGAUGACGGCCUUCGGGUUGUAAACCUCUUUCGGUAGGGAAGAAGCGAAAGUGACGGUACCUGCAGAAGAAGCACCGGCUAACUACGUG
rnacentral:rRNA from 1 species